rnacentral:lncRNA from 1 species
UGAGUUAAACACAUACAUCACUACGCAGUUUCUGGGAAUGAUUUUGUCUUGUUUUUAUACGAAGAUAUUUCCUUUUCUACCAUUGGCAUCGAAGCGCUUGAAAUCUCCACUUGCAAAUUCCACAAAAAGAGUGUUUCAAAUCUGCUCUGUCUAAAGGAAGGUUGAACUCUGUGAGUUGCAUACAGACAACACAAAGUAGUUACUGAGAAAUCUUCUGUCUAGCAUAAUAUGAAGAAAUCCCAUUUCCAACGAAGGCCUCAAAAAGGUCCGAAUAUCCACUGGCAGACUUCACAAACAGAGUGUUUCCUAACUGCUCUAUGAAAAGAAAGGUUAAACUCUGUGAGUUGAAAGCACACAUCACAAAACAGUUUCUGAGAAUCAUUCUGUCUAGUUUUUAUACGAAGAUAUUUCCUUUUCUACUGUUGACUUCAAAGCAGCUGAAUUCUCCACUUACAAAUUCCACGAAAAGAGUGUCUCAAAUCUGCUCUGUGUAAAGAAUCAUUCAACUCUGUGAGUUGAAUGCACACAACACAAGGAAGUUACUGGGAAUUCCUCUGUCUAACCUUACAUGAAAAAAACCCGUUUCCAACGAAGUCCUCUAAG